GCUGCUGCCUCACCGCGCUUUUUGCCCGUACCUCGCCUGUUCCACCGGAAACGCGUGAAGAGAGAAAGCAAUGAUUGGAGAAGCGCAGAGAAGCAGACGAGCACUCGUCGCUACACGCGCGUCUCCUAUAACUGUACACUCUCAGAUUUGAAUCGAUUG
ensembl:ncRNA F36D4.11 ncRNA